AAAUUUUCCUUUAGACAACCAGUUCUAGGUAAGCCUAUUUGGUCAUUGGAAUUUUGCUGAUAAUAGAAAAACAUAACACAAAAAGAGCACAUUGGUUGUUGGUUUAUAGAUUUCCUUAAAUUUAUUAAUUUGUUCAUUCAUUAAUUGUCUGUAAUUGCUUAUCUAAUUUAGAGUUAUGGUGUGCUUGGGGCCAACUCCGAAUCACAGGUUGCAAGUGGAAAACUUAAUUUUACUACUAAUUAGUACUUUUUUUAUUUCCUAGAUCUGGAAGUCCAAAUUGUUAGUCAGGAAUCAUCUUCUUCUGUAGUGUCAGACACUCCAUUAUCCCCAUUGUCAUCCAGUUCAUCCGACUCCACAGUCAUCCUUGAAUCAACAAAGAGAAGGAGGGUAGCAGAAUUGAUGGAUCGGGAUCAAGCAAAACAUAUGGUUGAAGAUGUCCUCAAGGCCAAUCCAAAGGGUGAAGAAAUCUUCAUGGAGUAUAACAAGACCAAAACUCUUACAGAUGGAAAACGGAAACAAAUGGUGAACAUCCUGGUGGCUGAUAUGAUCGAGACACAUGGGUAAGACAUUCAAGUACAUUUAAAGAAUAAGUCCAUAAAAUUUAAGGAUGUUAUUUAUUUAUAUUCUUUUUUUAUUCUUUUCUCUUUUUUUUUUAGGAGGAUUCCACCAUCAAGUGCACGAACUAAUUAUGCGCUGGGAAUUGUGACUCUGUUUCCAUACCUCCAAGAUCCAUACUCUGAAAAUGGAUAUGAACACUACUACGAUCCUGUGGGUAACACUGGCUACCUAGCAUGGAGGAUUAAGACUGUUCAGCGGAACUCCUCUGUUGGCUCCCAGAGUUAUUCAAGGCCAUCUUAUCAAGAUAGUCCAAGAAGCAGACGAGAAGCUCUACCAGAUGUUGAACAGCUGUUUGGUGAUGAGUGCAGGGAGGCUUUAUCUACAAUGAGGCACUCAACAGAUGAAUCUGUGGUCAAAGAGAGAAUGAGGGCAACUUUCCAGUAUAGACAAAAGCUGGUUCGUGAUAAAGAUGCGUCAAUGUCUGUUCUGGACAACUUUCCUCGUUUCCUUGACAUUCCUGGAUUGAUUGACCAGGACUUUGCCAUGAUGUUUGGAGAUGAGGUGUCCAGUAGGUUUCUAGCGAAGUGGCCUACUUUUUUCAAGCCCAGAGUCAUAAGCGACUGCAGGACACUCGCCCCAAAUCAGUAUGCUGAGGAACUGCUGUCAGCAAUUGAACCCCAACCUGAGGAUAUCUAUGGUAAAUGGAAUUUUUUAAUCCCCA
rnacentral:lncRNA from 1 species